rnacentral:rRNA from 1 species
UACGUAGGGUGCAAGCGUUAUUCGGAAUUACUGGGCGUAAAGCGUGCGCAGGCGGUGCUGUAAGACAGAUGUGAAAUCCCCGGGCUCAACCUGGGAACUGCAUUUGUGACUGCAUCGCUGGAGUGCGGCAGAGGGGGAUGGAAUUCCGCGUGUAGCAGUGAAAUGCGUAGAUAUGCGGAGGAACACCGAUGGCGAAGGCAAUCCCCUGGGCCUGCACUGACGCUCAUGCACGAAAGCGUGGGGAGCAAACAGG